rnacentral:rRNA from 1 species
AACGAACGCUGGCGGCAUGCCUAACACAUGCAAGUCGAACGAGACCUUCGGGUCUAGUGGCGCACGGGGGCGUAACGCGGGGGAACCUGCCCUUAGGUUCGGAAUAACUCCCCGAAAGGGGUGCUAAUACCGGAUAAUGUCUUCGGACCAAAGAUUUAUCGCUUUUGGAUGGGCCCGCGUUGGAUUAGCUAGUUGGUAGGGUAAAAGCCUGCCAAGGCGACGAUCCAUAGCUGGUCUGAGAGGAUGAUCAGCCACACUGGGACUGAGACACGGCCCAGACUCCUACGGGAGGCAGCAGUGGGGAAUAUUGGACAAUGGGCGAAAGCCUGAUCCAGCAAUGCCGCGUGAGUGAUGAAGGCCUUAGGGUUGUAAAGCUCUUUUACCCGGGAUGAUAAUGACAGUACCGGGAGAAUAAGCACCGGCUAACUCCGUG